UACUUUACAGAUACCUGAGGAACAGAGGGGCGUUAGAUACUCUGAGGUACUUAUACAUACUUUACAGAUACCUGAGGAACAGAGGAGCGUUAGAUACUCUGAGGUACUUAUACAUACUUUACAGAUACCUGAGGAACACAGGGGCGUUAGAUACUCUGAGGUACUUAUACAUACUUUACAGAUACCUGAGGAACACAGGGACAUUAGAUGCUCUGAAGUACUUCAGAUACUUUACAGAUACCUGAGGAACAGAGGGACAUUAGAUACUCUGAGGUACUUAUACAUACUUUACAAAUACCUGAGGAACAGAGGGACAUUAGAUACUCUGAGGUACUUAUACAUACUUUACAGAUACCUGAGGAACAGAGGAGCGUUAGAUACUCUGAGGUACUUAUACAUACUUUACAGGUACCUGAGGAACACAGGGACAUUAGAUACUCUGAGGUACUUCAGAUACUUGACAGAUACUUCAGAGAUACCUGAGAGUACAGGUGGAUCGUGUACUCUGCAGAACUUCACAUAUACUUUACAGAUACUUCACAGAUAGAGUACAGGUGUAUGUUCUCUUCAGUACUUCACAGAUACUCCCCAGAUACUUCAGAGUACAGGUGUAUCGUGUACUUCACAGAUACUCCCCAGAUACUUCAGAGUACAGAUGUAUCGUGUACUUCACAGAUACUCCCCAGAUACUUCAGAGUACAGGUGUAUCGUGUACUUCACAGAUACUCCCCAGAUACGUCAGAGUACAGGUGUAUCGUGUACUCUUCAGUACUUCACAGAUACUCCCCAGAUACUUCAGAGUACAGGUGUAUCGUGUACUUCACAGAUACUCCCCAGAUACUUCAGAGUACAGGUGUAUCGUGUACUUCACAGAUACUCCCCAGAUACUUCAGAGUACAGAUGUAUCGUGUACUUCACAGAUACUCCCCAGAUACUUCAGAGUACAGGUGUAUCGUGUACUUCACAGAUACUCCCCAGA